UAAGAUUUUAGUUCCCUGGCA
rnacentral:piRNA from 1 species